CCCAACCAUGACCCUAGUCCUACAACCUGAACUCUGCCUUAUCAUAAAGCCCAUCCAAUUCAGUUUUCUUUUGUAGUCCCUGGAAUUAACCCUUGCAAGUCUUAUUACUGGUAUCCUCCUGGUAAACCCUGGCACCUGAGGUUACAGCUGAAAAAUAUUGCCUAGGGGAAAAAAGUCAUUCCUGAAAUUGUCAUAUAGCCAGAAGCUUUUGGUUUAGGGCAACACGGACAGACAGAAGAACUAUUUUCACCUUGGGCCAGCUAAUUCUAAUUCAAUUACCUCCCACUAGAUGUACAGGAAUAUUUGGUGUAACACCUGCCUUUGUUUUAUUUUUCAUGGAAAACAGGCUGAUAUCUCCUCUUUCAGAGAGGGUUUUUUUUUUUUUUUUUUCCCUCUCCCUCUGCCUUUAUCAUCAUCUCUUUCACUCUUUUGUAGGAAGAAGAUGCCCUCCCACCACAGAACAGCAGUCUGGAGACAGGAGAAGAGGCUCUGCUGCAGGCCAACUUGUUCCAUUUCCUUUAUGUCUUUAUGUUGCACUCAAGAUCUGUGGUGUGCAGGUUUCCAAUGCGUGGUUACUUUGACUUUACUCUGAAAUAUCCCUUACAAGAACUCCAUGGCAAUGUUACCUUGAGGAAAACAAAUGUCCAAGAUCUUAAAUCACAUGGUAUGUUACUGUAGCAGGCAGUGCUGGGCUAUGCUGAAAGACAAGAAAGACAUCUUUACAGAUCUUUUUUAUGUUCCAGUGUUUAUUUCACUAACCUCAUCUGGAAACAAAAGAAAAUAAACUCAGGCAACAACAUCUGUUGCUCCUGCUG
rnacentral:lncRNA from 1 species